rnacentral:ncRNA from 1 species
GAUAACUGGCUUGUGGCGGCCAGGGGUUCACAGCAACGCCACUUUUUGAUCCUUGGAGGUCGGCUCUUCCUCGUGCUGUGAAGCAGAUUUCAACAGUUGUUUGUUCCCAACUAAUAGGGAACGUGAGGUUAGUUUUACCCCACUGGUG